CGUGCCUAAUACAUGCAAGUCGAACGAACUCUGGUAUUGAUUGGUGCUUGCAUCAUGAUUUACAUUUGAGUGAGUGGCGAACUGGUGAGUAACACGUGGGAAACCUGCCCAGAAGCGGGGGAUAACACCUGGAAACAGAUGCUAAUACCGCAUAACAACUUGGACCGCAUGGUCCGAGCUUGAAAGAUGGCUUCGGCUAUCACUUUUGGAUGGUCCCGCGGCGUAUUAGCUAGAUGGUGGGGUAACGGCUCACCAUGGCAAUGAUACGUAGCCGACCUGAGAGGGUAAUCGGCCACAUUGGGACUGAGACACGGCCCAAACUCCUACGGGAGGCAGCAGUAGGGAAUCUUCCACAAUGGACGAAAGUCUGAUGGAGCAACGCCGCGUGAGUGAAGAAGGGUUUCGGCUCGUAAAACUCUGUUGUUAAAGAAGAACAUAUCUGAGAGUAACUGUUCAGGUAUUGACGGUAUUUAACCAGAAAGCCACGGCUAACUACGUGCCAGCAGCCGCGGUAAUACGUAGGUGGCAAGCGUUGUCCGGAUUUAUUGGGCGUAAAGCGAGCGCAGGCGGUUUUUUAAGUCUGAUGUGAAAGCCUUCGGCUCAACCGAAGAAGUGCAUCGGAAACUGGGAAACUUGAGUGCAGAAGAGGACAGUGGAACUCCAUGUGUAGCGGUGAAAUGCGUAGAUAUAUGGAAGAACACCAGUGGCGAAGGCGGCUGUCUGGUCUGUAACUGACGCUGAGGCUCGAAAGUAUGGGUAGCAAACAGGAUUAGAUACCCUGGUAGUCCAUACCGUAAACGAUGAAUGCUAAGUGUUGGAGGGUUUCCGCCCUUCAGUGCUGCAGCUAACGCAUUAAGCAUUCCGCCUGGGGAGUACGGCCGCAAGGCUGAAACUCAAAGGAAUUGACGGGGGCCCGCACAAGCGGUGGAGCAUGUGGUUUAAUUCGAAGCUACGCGAAGAACCUUACCAGGUCUUGACAUACUAUGCAAAUCUAAGAGAUUAGACGUUCCCUUCGGGGACAUGGAUACAGGUGGUGCAUGGUUGUCGUCAGCUCGUGUCGUGAGAUGUUGGGUUAAGUCCCGCAACGAGCGCAACCCUUAUUAUCAGUUGCCAGCAUUAAGUUGGGCACUCUGGUGAGACUGCCGGUGACAAACCGGAGGAAGGUGGGGAUGACGUCAAAUCAUCAUGCCCCUUAUGACCUGGGCUACACACGUGCUACAAUGGAUGGUACAACGAGUUGCGAACUCGCGAGAGUAAGCUAAUCUCUUAAAGCCAUUCUCAGUUCGGAUUGUAGGCUGCAACUCGCCUACAUGAAGUCGGAAUCGCUAGUAAUCGCGGAUCAGCAUGCCGCGGUGAAUACGUUCCCGGGCCUUGUACACACCGCCCGUCACACCAUGAGAGUUUGUAACACCCAAAGUCGGUGGGGUAACCUUUUAGGAACCAGCCGCCUAAGG
rnacentral:rRNA from 2 species